rnacentral:rRNA from 1 species
GAGUUUGAUCCUGGCUCAGGACGAACGCUGGCGGCGUGCUUAACACAUGCAAGUCGAGCGGAAAGGCCCCUUCGGGGGUACUCGAGCGGCGAACGGGUGAGUAACACGUGAGCAACCUGCCCCUGACACUGGGAUAAGCCUGGGAAACCGGGUCUAAUACCGGAUAUGACCUGCCUUCGCAUGGGGGUGGGUGGAAAGGUUGGCCCGUUUGGGUCUUCCGGUCAGGGAUGGGCUCGCGGCCUAUCAGCUUGUUGGUGGGGUAACGGCCUACCAAGGCGACGACGGGUAGCCGGCCUGAGAGGGCGACCGGCCACACUGGGACUGAGACACGGCCCAGACUCCUACGGGAGGCAGCAGUGGGGAAUAUUGCGCAAUGGGCGAAAGCCUGACGCAGCGACGCCGCGUGGGGGAUGAAGGCCUUCGGGUUGUAAACCUCUUUCGGCAGGGACGAAGUUGACGUGUACCUGCGGAAGAAGCGCCGGCUAACUACGUGCCAGCAGCCGCG